rnacentral:rRNA from 2 species
UUGCUACUUUGCUGACGAGCGGCGGACGGGUGAGUAAUGCUUGGGAACAUGCCUUGAGGUGGGGGACAACAGUUGGAAACGACUGCUAAUACCGCAUAAUGUCUACGGACCAAAGGGGGCUUCGGCUCUCGCCUUUAGAUUGGCCCAAGUGGGAUUAGCUAGUUGGUGAGGUAAUGGCUCACCAAGGCGACGAUCCCUAGCUGGUUUGAGAGGAUGAUCAGCCACACUGGGACUGAGACACGGCCCAGACUCCUACGGGAGGCAGCAGUGGGGAAUAUUGCACAAUGGGCGCAAGCCUGAUGCAGCCAUGCCGCGUGUGUGAAGAAGGCCUUCGGGUUGUAAAGCACUUUCAGUCAGGAGGAAAGGUUAGUAGUUAAUACCUGCUAGCUGUGACGUUACUGACAGAAGAAGCACCGGCUAACUCCGUGCCAGCAGCCGCGGUAAUACGGAGGGUGCGAGCGUUAAUCGGAAUUACUGGGCGUAAAGCGUACGCAGGCGGUUUGUUAAGCGAGAUGUGAAAGCCCCGGGCUCAACCUGGGAACUGCAUUUCGAACUGGCAAACUAGAGUGUGAUAGAGGGUGGUAGAAUUUCAGGUGUAGCGGUGAAAUGCGUAGAGAUCUGAAGGAAUACCGAUGGCGAAGGCAGCCACCUGGGUCAACACUGACGCUCAUGUACGAAAGCGUGGGGAGCAAACGGGAUUAGAUACCCCGGUAGUCCACGCCGUAAACGAUGUCUACUAGAAGCUCGGAGCCUCGGUUCUGUUUUUCAAAGCUAACGCAUUAAGUAGACCGCCUGGGGAGUACGGCCGCAAGGUUAAAACUCAAAUGAAUUGACGGGGGCCCGCACAAGCGGUGGAGCAUGUGGUUUAAUUCGAUGCAACGCGAAGAACCUUACCUACACUUGACAUACAGAGAACUUACCAGAGAUGGUUUGGUGCCUUCGGGAACUCUGAUACAGGUGCUGCAUGGCUGUCGUCAGCUCGUGUUGUGAGAUGUUGGGUUAAGUCCCGCAACGAGCGCACCCCCUAUCCUUAGUUGCUAGCAGGUAAUGCUGAGAACUCUAAGGAGACUGCCGGUGAUAAACCGGAAG